CUCUCUUCCCUGCUGCCAUGCAAGAUGUGACUUUGCUUCUCAUUCGCCUUCCACCAUGAUUGUGAGGCCUCCCAAGCCAUGUGGAACUAUAAAGGAAACCUCUUUCCUUUAUAAACUACCCAGUUUCGGGUAUGUGUUUAUUAGCAGCUUGACAACAGACUAAUACAGGCAGGUUUCCAGAAAGCAUUUUACCUGAGUUCCCAGAAUUCAUGCUGGGGGGUGUACGGGGAGAGAGGUGGGAGAUGGUCAUGGGUGGUUAGAUCAUUGAUUUGAGAUCAAAUCUUUUCAGUAGCUAAAUGAAGACCUAAGAGCCAGAAUAACCUAGAUUAUAUAAAGAGAUUAUAAAAGGAAAUAGGCAUUUCUAAAAAUGUAUUACAUUUAAAAUUGAAACCCAUAAUGAAGAGGAUGAUUGUUUUUUACCUGUGGAUAGAACACAGGGUUACUGAUGAUUACACUUGGCUAUUGCUGUCAUUUGGUUCUUUUGAUCUUCACUUUGAGUCAAUGGAACUGUUCAGGCAUUCUGUAAGGAGGACAGACACCAGCGUGACACUGCCUCAGCAUUUCUUCUACAAAAGAAAAGUCAAAAUAAAUGACAUUAGCCCAUAGCAGCUGAUAUAUUUUAAUUCUUUCCUCAUAUUAUUAACAAACAUGAGACUUUCUCUUUCCAGGGAAGUUGGAUCUGUAUGGGAAUCCAAAGAUAAUUACAGCUGAGCCAUCCUGAGAUAGAGCCCCUGAGAGGCAUAGAAAUCUCCAAAGUGGCCUCUUUUUACACAGAUUGUGGAUAUUCAGUUCUUCCUUUGGUCCCAUGUUACAAACUAGAUUAUUCUUUGCUUUAGAUAUCCAACCAUUCAGACUCCUAGCUGAGUCUUACAAGUUUCUAGCUCAGGAGGGAGUUGUUGGGUGGCAGGGGGUGGCUCUGUGGUUGCUGGUUAUGUGGGGAACAUGUGGGAAGUGCAAGGAGAAAGGAAAGCUCCGGGCUUGCACACGUCAGUCAGGGCUGGUUCCUGUUCCUGUAACCUAAGAUUUCUGUUGACAUGGUGC
rnacentral:lncRNA from 1 species